rnacentral:rRNA from 1 species
UACGGGGGGGGCAAGCGUUGUUCGGAAUUACUGGGCGUAAAGCGCGCGUAGGCGGGUCUGUAAGUCGAUUGUGAAAGCCCUGGGCUUAACCUGGGAAUGGCAGUCGAAACUACAGAUCUUGAAUGUCUGAGAGGAUGGCGGAAUUCCCGGUGUAGUAGUGAAAUACGUAGAUAUCGGGAAGAACACCUGAGGCGAAGGCGGCUAUCUGGCGGUACAUUGACGCUGAGGCGCGAAAGCGUGGGUAGCAAACAGG